CUACGGGGGGCAGCAGUGGGGAAUAUUGGACAAUGGGCGAAAGCCUGAUCCAGCCAUGCCGCGUGUGUGAAGAAGGCCUUCGGGUUGUAAAGCACUAUCAGUGGGGAAGAAAGCCUUGGGGCUAAUACCCUCGAGGAAGGACAUCACCCACAGAAGAAGCACCGGCUAACUCCGUGCCAGCAGCCGCGGUAAUACGGAGGGUGCGAGCGUUAAUCGGAAUUACUGGGCGUAAAGCGCGCGUAGGCGGUCUGAUAAGCCGGUUGUGAAAGCCCCGGGCUCAACCUGGGAACGGCAUCCGGAACUGUCAGGCUAGAGUGCAGGAGAGGAAGGUAGAAUUCCCGGUGUAGCAGUGAAAUGCGUAGAGAUCGGGAGGAAUACCAGUGGCGAAGGCGGCCUUCUGGACUGACACUGACGCUGAGGUGCGAAAGCGUGGGUAGCAAACAGGAUUAGAUACCCUGGUAGUC
rnacentral:rRNA from 1 species